CUAUAAUAGACUACUUAAUAAAGCAAAAGUUAUUGAUGUGUCUUUGGAAACAGAAAUGAAGUUAUGAACAUAAUCAAAGCAAUGUCACCACCACAAAGCACAUGCAGCGUUUGUCUCUGAUAGUUUUAAAGUAUAUUUUCUAUUUCUGUUGAAUUAAGAAUCAGUCCUCACAUUUUCAUCUUCUUAAAGGUAUUCUGGAUAACAUUAAUUAAAUUUGUGUUUACUACUCACUAGUCAAGCUUGGCUGUGUUGAUAUUCACAAAGCAUGUGGAAUAAAGGUUGGUCCAGUAACUAUUGGCUGUGCAGAUGAUGAGGAGAGAGCUAUCUUGGAUUAUACUAUAAGAAAUGUUCACUUCUUGCUAGUGAAGAUUUUUCAUUAUGCACAGCAGAAAACACAUGCACAUAAAGGAUGGAUGUGAUGAAGAUGAAGAAAAUGAUGCUGCAUGCUCUGUGUUAUUCUAAUAAAUGUAAAGAAAACUAUACAUCAGAGUUGUCAUUGUUUGCUGCGGAUAUUGCAGUUAUUUCUGUGGACCAGAGUACGCUGACAUGGUCCUAUACUGCUACUGGUAGUGCAAGGCCACCAAAAAGCUGUUACAAGCCAAAGUACAAUAGAGGUGUUGGAAGCCUCCCUUACCAACCGGAUUAGGGUUUGGUGGAAUAAUCAAGGAGGAUGUCCAGUUGAUAUCUCUGGUAAAGUGUCCAUUCAUUUUAAAUGCAACAAGCAAUGAACUGGUCUAAUAUAAUAAGUGCAUAUAGCUGUAUAUUUUUAAUGCUUCUUGUUGUCAUACAUAUAAACUUUACUUAUACAUUGCAUUUCUAUCUAUAUGCCACAUAAUCUAUGCCUUGCAAGUUGAUGAUUGAUUCAAUGAAUGAGAAAGAAUGUAACAAAGAAAAGUACAAUGGGGCAUUGUGUUAGGCUAUAUAAAGAGGUACUUUUUGAUGCAGUGAGCAAGUUACAACAAAGAGAAAAUCACGAUGAAGACUCUUGUAU
rnacentral:lncRNA from 1 species